GAUGAACGCUGGCGGCGUGCCUAAUACAUGCAAGUCGAGCGAACAGACGAGGAGCUUGCUCCUCUGACGUUAGCGGCGGACGGGUGAGUAACACGUGGAUAACCUACCUAUAAGACUGGGAUAACUUCGGGAAACCGGAGCUAAUACCGGAUAAUAUAUUGAACCGCAUGGUUCAAUAGUGAAAGACGGUUUUGCUGUCACUUAUAGAUGGAUCGGCGCCGCAUUAGCUAGUUGGUAAGGUAACGGCUUACCAAGGCGACGAUGCGUAGCCGACCUGAGAGGGUGAUCGGCCACACUGGAACGGAAACACGGUCCAGACUCCUACGGGAGGCAGCAGUAGGGAAUCUUCCGCAAUGGGCGAAAGCCUGACGGAGCAACGCCGCGUGAGUGAUGAAGGUCUUCGGAUCGUAAAACUCUGUUAUUAGGGAAGAACAAAUGUGUAAGUAACUAUGCACGUCUUGACGGUACCUAAUCAGAAAGCCCCGGCUAACUACGUG
rnacentral:rRNA from 1 species